AGGAAAAGCAAAUACUUCCAGAUCUUCACAUUUAAUUCAACCAAGUGCACCAUCUCAUUCAAGUCAAUGGAAUCCUUCUGGUGGAUCAGAAUAUAUGGAUAACAAUCUCAUUUCAUAUGCUCAAAUAUUAAGAGGAUCUGUUGAUUAUUCCCAGUCCUCAGUGUUCUCUUCCCAAGUUGAAAACAGAAUAUGAUUGGGCUUAUUUGCCUCUUUUUUGCAUCAAGCUGAAUGUUUCUUAAGGACUAUUGAUAGCUAUUGAACAUCUUUUAAGUUAUUUUCCUCUUUUUGUAUCAAGCUGCAUAUUUUUUAAGGAUUAUUGAUAGCUAUUGGACAUCUUUUAAGUUA